rnacentral:rRNA from 1 species
CAGUCGCCGCGGUAAUACGAAGGGUGCAAGCGUUAAUCGGAAUUACUGGGCGUAAAGCGUGCGUAGGCGGUGAGUUAAGUCUGCUGUGAAAUCCCCGGGCUCAACCUGGGAAUGGCAGUGGAUACUGGCUCGCUAGAGUGUGUCAGAGGAUGAUGGAAUUCCCGGUGUAGCGGUGAAAUGCGUAGAGAUCGGGAGGAACAUCAGUGGCGAAGGCGGCCAUCUGGGACAACACUGACGCUGAGGCACGAAAGCGUGGGGAGCAAACAGGUUUAGAUACCCCAGUAGUCCCUGUCUCUUAUAC